GUGAGGGACAACUGGGAAUAGUGGGGGGAACUGGGAAUGGGGAGGGAGAACUGGGAAUGGGGAGGGAGAACUGGGAAUGGAGAUGAGGGAUAAUUGGGAAUGGUGAGGGAUAACUGGGAAUGGAGGUGAGGGAUAAUUAGGAAUGGUGAGGGAUAACUGGGAAUGGAGGUGAGGGAUAACUGGGAAUGGUGAGGGAUAACUGGGAAUGGAGGUGAGGGAUAACUGGGAACGGUGAGGGAUAACUGGGAAUGGAAGUGAGGGAUAACUGGGAAUGGAGGUGAGGGAUAACUGGGAACGGUGAGGGAUAACUGGGAAUGGAGGUGAGGGAUAA